AUGGGGAGGGCGCCUUGCUGCGAGAAGGUGGGGCUGAAGCGAGGAAAGUGGACGGCGAAGGAGGAUGACACUCUCGCAAAAUACAUAGCUGGGCACGGCGAGGGUUCAUGGAGGUCUCUGCCCAAAAAUGCGGCUUCCCAUUGUAUUAAUACUGCAGGGCUACUAAGGUGUGGCAAUAGCUGCAGGCUACGGUGGGUCAACUACCUGAGGGACGGGGUGAGGAGGGGCAACUUCUCUAAGGAGGAAGACGAUCUCAUCGUCAAGCUCCAUGCUACAUUAGGCAACAGAUGGUCACUGAUCGCCAGUCACCUGCCAGGGCGGACUGACAACGAGAUCAAGAAUUACUGGAACGCUCAUCUUAGCAGGCAGAUCCACAGCUUCCGGCGCAUGUACACCGCUGGCAAGGAAACCACCAUAACCAUCGACAUGAACAAGCUUUCCACCGCUUCCAAGCGCCGAGGCGGCCGGGCACCAAGGAGCAGCACGAAGAAGCAGCCGGUGCUUGAGCCCACCAGGUCAAUGGAAUGCUCUAGGCCGGUCGGUGACAUGUCAUCAUCAACAUCAAGCCUACCUCAGGGCAACUCGGAAACUAUGUUAGAACAGAACCGGCCGAUCAACAUCAUCACUAAUGAUACACCCUGCAGUGAGGAGCCCAUGGUCAUGGACCCCAUAGAUCUCAAUGGUGGUUUCCUGGAGCCCAGCUACGUGUACAACUCAAUGGAUCAAAUUGGGAUUUUACAGGAGUCUGGGGAGAUUGGGGCCCUGUUAUCAAGCAUCAACGACAUGCCAGCUAGAGUGCUGACCGGCAUCGAGCACGGAGGCCACUCACCUCGGGUUGAGGAUCUCCUGGACAUGGACUGGGAGGGUUUUGCGUCUCACCUAUGCGACCAGCCAGCCCAGAAUGAUCCCCUCCAGACCGCGAAGCCACAGGCAACGACAGGCUCCGAGUCGGACAAGCUUGAGUCGUUCGUCAGUUGGCUCCUCUCUGAUGCGUCCUAA
rnacentral:rRNA from 1 species